AGAAACCUUUCACACGUUCAGUUAACUUAGAAGCAGGUGAUAAUAGCGUUGCUCAUAGAUCGAGAUAAAAUGUGAUCAGGAACAAUCUUCACUUCAAAACAACAUGGAGCCUCAUGAAGCGACAGCUAAAAGUUUUACCAAUCAACGAAAGGUCUUUGUAUGCCGUGUAGUUGUAUUGGCACCUAUCGUCUGUAUCCUGACUGUUUUCCUCGUACUAUUAGUAUGUAUGGAAUUCGCGGGCCAGAAUGGAACGGUUUCAAAUGACACCAUUUGCCAGACUUUAAAUUUUACUGUACAGUACAAAAAUGGCUCGCUUAUUGCAUCGUGUAUUAAAGAUAAAGUCGGUAAUUCUACAAAGAUGACGAACUGUUUGGAGUUUAAAGUUUUGUGUGCUUUGGGAAGCGCAGAUAGUCAAUCGAUAAACAGGUCAAAAGACCAGAAGUCACACAACAGUUCGUGGAAAGAUUUCGGAUUUUGCUUGCACAACGUGACAAGGUUGGGAUUUUUGCGAGAUGGCUUGCUUCAAAACGGGGCUAAUUUCGUUCGGGAAUUAUUUGCAAAGGAGGGGGCAUUUAUAAACUGCUCAUUUGACAAAGCGAAAGCGAGAACGACGCCAUGCAGUGUAAAUAACGAAAAGGAAACGUCAAAACAAAAACGUAUGAGAGAGAAUACACGCAUUGCUGAUACAGUUUUGGUAGUGCUACUGUCGUUAGGAUUGCUCGCUUUUAUUGUAAUGUGUGUUUACACAAGGAAGACGCUUAAAGUUUGCUGUCACAUGUGCUAUGAGGAUGACCAUGACAGAUACAAGCGGAACUCGAAACCGUAAUCAAAUAUAAAUGAUCAAAUUAUGUAAUUAAGAUAAGAUAAUAUACGAUUCACACGGGAUUUCCAAUUCAAUCGUACCGUAACGUAGCUUAUUUCUUUGUUUUCUGAGUACCAGUCUACCAGAGUCAUGAUUUCGACACAUAAGAAGCUGCUACAAUACGUUACGUGGAAAACAGAGAAUUGGAGUACUUGUAUCGAAUUUAGUGCGCAGUAAUGCAGUGAGCUCCAUAUAUUAUCUGGAGUGAGAACUCGAGCCAAAAUGGCGAAAUUUGAAGAGCUAUUUAUUGAAAUGAAUAUAACUGGAACGCUACCUUCAGAUAAACUGCCCAUCUUUUUCAUGAAGCCAAAUCGUGACGCGUGAAAAGACUGGGACUGGCCUUCAAGAUUCGCUUCAAAUUUCUGGUUGGAGCAUUCUCGUACCCAGAGCCCUUCUUACGCGCGGUGCGACGAGGGGCUCUGGCCAAAUCCAUAUUCUGAACUGGCAUCUGAUUGGCUAGUUCUAACACCGGAUAUUGUUUUCUUACCAUGUUUUUAUGGUAUCCGGUUAUGGAUUUGGCCACAGCCCCUCGUCGCACCGCGCGUAGGAAGGGCUCUGGGUACGAGAAUGUGGUUGGAGCUAUUGGACGUCAGUUCCAGUCCCUUUCUAUUGUUUUUGGCAAAAUAACACUCUCAUAUCUCUCGUCAGGAAUCAGUUAACUUAAAUAUCCUGCACUGAAUAUGUAGUUGUAAACAAUAUCAUUCUAUUAAGGUUCAAAACUUUUAGUUUGGUUGUUGAAUGAAUCUAUAGACUUGCUUUCUAUUUUGAGUUUAACCACCGUUUAAGCUAAACGGGCUUGAUACAACCGGCCCCAGAUAAAUAUGGCCUUACGUUUAAAGCAUCAUUGAUAAUUGUAUUUUAAUUGACAUUUUUUUACCAAAUAAAUAUGUAUUUAAAUGCAUUUAAAAAGGUAGCUAACUGUAUAAACUAGAGAAUAAAGCUAAAACAAAGCAAUUUUGAGAGGAACGCCAAAACCAUUUUCGAUUUUGAACACUUUUCAUCGCGAAUACGCAACACAGAAAAAAUUGCCUUUUAAUACACGACGGAUCUGCUCGGCCCAUAAAAUGGCUGGCAGUAUGAAUAGACCUUUCCCCUUUUAAGUGAGAUUUUGAUCUAGACAAGUCUGGACAAAAAUUUCAUCAAAAGAGCAUCACAAAAUUAGUAAUAUUCCAAAGUUUCGUUGCGAAAUGUUGUAAAAUGCGGAUAAUAUAGCCUUGCGAAGUUUGCCGUUUUUCAGUCAUGUUGAUUACAAAUGGG